rnacentral:tRNA from 1 species
GCCCAGUUAGCUCAGUCGGUAGAGCAGGGGAUUGAAAAUCCCCGUGUCCGUGGUUCGAUUCCGCGACUGGGCACCA